UGACCUCCGGAUCAGGUAGGACUACCCCGCUGAACUUAAGCAUAUCAAUAAGCGGAGGAAAAGAAACCAACAGGGAUUGCCCCAGUAACGGCGAGUGAAGCGGCAACAGCUCAGAUUUGGAAUCUGGCCCCCAGGGCCCCGAGUUGUAAUCUGGAGAGGAUGCUUCUGGCGCGGCGCCUUCCGAGUUCCCUGGAACGGGACGCCGGAGAGGGUGAGAGCCCCGUACGGUUGGACGCCUAGCCUUUGUGAAGCUCCUUCGACGAGUCGAGUAGUUUGGGAAUGCUGCUCAAAAUGGGAGGUAAAUUUCUUCUAAAGCUAAAUACCGGCCAGAGACCGAUAGCGCACAAGUAGAGUGAUCGAAAGAUGAAAAGCACUUUGAAAAGAGGG
rnacentral:rRNA from 2 species